rnacentral:rRNA from 1 species
GUAGGUGGCAAGCGUUGUCCGGAAUUAUUGGGCGUAAAGCGCGCGCAGGCGGUUCUUUAAGUCUGAUGCGAAAGCCCACGGCUCAACCGUGGAGGGUCAUUGGAAACUGGAGAACUUGAGUACAGAAGAGGAAAGCGGAAUUCCACGUGUAGCGGUGAAAUGCGUAGAGAUGUGGAGGAACACCAGUGGCGAAGGCGGCUUUCUGGUCUGUAACUGACGCUGAGGCGCGAAAGCGUGGGGAGCAAACAGGGAUUAGAUACCCUGGUAGUCCACGCCGUAAACGAUGAGUGCUAAGUGUUAGGGGGUUUCCGCCCCCUUAGUGCUGCAGCUAACGCAUUAAGCACUCCGCCUGGGGAUACGGCCGCAAGGCUG